ACUUCAGAAGCAGCCUUGCAGGCGAUGUAAGGCGAUCCUAGUGCUACCUUCUCUUUGGAUUCAUGCUUGCAGCUGCAGGUUCUCUGUGUCCUCACCACAGCUUACCUGCUCCUGAAAUUCUUCCCUUUUAGUGGAGGAGCAUUGGAGGAAGCCAAGCGCCAACACCUUCUUAUGGCACCAGCAACCAUAUACCGGAAAAGGUGGCGCAGAAGAGGAGGCAGCAGGAAAGAAUUGGAAGAGAGAUUGCAAACAUGCCAGCGGGUUUGACCUAGCGGAGGAGACAAUGCCAGCCUUGAUGAGGCCAUGGCCAAUGAUUCAUUGAUGAUGAAAGUGUUAGCAUGCUUAACCCUUUUUCUCUCAUCCCACUUCACACUAAUCCCUCAAUCUCUUUUGAUUUACAAGCCACACUGGGUGUAAGCAUGAACUCCUUCCCCCUCACAAACCUUUAGCCCUUUUUAACUUCAGAUACCCAGGAACUGAAACAUCCCCAGACAGAAGAUAAAGACAGUGAAGAUGAAGAGUCAACAUCAUUGUUGCUCAGAAACUAACACUGUGUGCGUUUUAAAGUCCAGGAUAGCAUAGGAGUCUGAGAAACUGGGUGUAGGUGCACAGGAGCCAGGUCAAGGAGAAAGGAUGGUGUAAGAGCCAGCUUGCUGGGAGUCGAAAGCGCAAAUGAGUUCUGCCACAGAAGACCUAAAUGGGGACUUCUAUGGACCAGGCUACAGAAGAAUGUUGAUGGGUUUACAUAAUCAAAUGCUUGGUGUGUUGGAAUGCCAGCCAGAAAUCCUGUACAUAAUGUCAAGUAGCAUGUAGAAAUCUAGCACCAAAUAGGCACAGCCCUUUGCACAGAGACUGAAGCCAUUCUGUCUGAUGUAGAAUGGGUGGUAACAUGGGUGGUAACACUGGACAUCAGCACACCUGCAAAACCCACCAUUUUCACAGAAUCAUUCUGGUGCAGAAAGAGGCCAUUCAGACCA